rnacentral:pre_miRNA from 1 species
CACUUCAACUAAAAAAGUCAUCAACAACAAAGUUGUAUAAUCCAUCUAGAUCUACCAUUUUUAUUGUGGUCAUUUGUUCAUCCCACAAAGUGAUUUUAACAUUGUUCACAAAAUUUACAUAUAUCCUACAUGAUUUAUUAAAUUAUUAGAGAGAUGUGUAAAUUUUGUAAACAAUGCUACUAUUACUUUAUUGGAUAAAGAAAUGACCAAAAUAAAAGUUAUAGAUAUUGAUGAGUUAUGCAAUUUUGUUGCUGAUGACUUUUUCAGUUGAAAUC